AUGCAGAUCUUUGUGAAGACCCUCACUGGCAAGACCAUCACACUUGAGGUCGAGUCAUCUGACACGAUUGACAAUGUCAAGGCAAAGAUACAUGAUAAGGAGGGAAUCCCACCGUAUUAGCAACGGCUCAUCUUUGUUGGCAAGCAGCUCGAGGACGGGCGGGCGCUUCCUGAUUACAAUAUCCAGAAGGAGUCGACACUCCAUCUGGCGCUCAGCCUCAGGGGUGGUAUGCAGAUAUUCGUGAAAACCCUCACUGGCAAGACCAUCACACUUGAGGUAGAGUCUUCGGAUACAAUUGACAAUGUCAAGGCAAAGAUACAGGACAAGGAGGGAAUCCCACCGGAUCAGCAAUGGCUCAUCUUUGCUGGCAAGCAGCUUGAAGAUGGGCGGACGCUUGCUGAUUACAAUAUCCAGAAGGAGUCGACCCUCCAUCUGGUGCUUAGGCUCCGGCAUGGUAUGCAGAUAUUUGUCAAAACCUUGACUAACAAGACCAUUACCCUGGAGGUUGAGUCUUCUGACACAAUCUACAAUGUCAAAGCCAAGAUCCAGGAUAAGGAGGGCAUCCCACUGGACCAGCAGCGCUUGAUCUUUGCAGGUAAGCAGCUUGAGGAUGGACACACCCUUGCCGAUUAUAACAUCCAGAAGGAGUCCACCCUGCACCUGGUGCUCCGCCUCCGUGGUGGCCAGUGA
rnacentral:rRNA from 1 species